GCAUAUUAAUUAACCCCCACCAACCCCCUCCCCCCUCUCUCUCGUAUUUUCCCCCAAAAUGAAACCCUAUUCUCUCUAUGUGUUUUUUAAUCUGAAAGCAUAUGAAGUCCUUAACAAUCAACUCUUUCAAAUUUAUGUCUUAAAGUCUGAAGACUCACGUGAUAUCUAUUUGAACUGGGUGAAGACUCACAAACUAACAAUAACAAUGGUUAUCAAUUUGAACAGGUUUGUCACUUUUCUUCUCUUUUUGGUUGAAGACUAAAAUUUUUUUUAGUGAAUAUUGAUAGCAGAGAAUGAUGAUAUUUUGUACGAAUUAUGCUGAAUAUUUAUUAUUGCGGUGUAGGAUUUAAAGUGGGAGUAUCGAGAUGUGAGGAUGGCGGUUAUGGUUAGGGUUAAAGAUUGGGUGUAGAGCAAGGAGGAUGAGGGAAUAAACGAAAUCUCCCUUUAGUUGUUUUGUUUGUGAGAAGAAAGAAAUGUAGAUAACAGAAGUCUUUCUCUGGUUAGAUGUCCCUUUGAAUGCAACUGUAAAUACUUGUAUUUUUGGGAUUGUGAGCACUUUCUCAAAAAAAUGAAAAUAAAUACUGAAAGUUGAUUAAAUUAAUUGUUAUAUAGUCUAAAAAGUUUGUCUUUUUAUUAUUCCAAAGUUAAAAAGAACAAAAGAAAAAAAUCUUUGACCCAAAUAUGACGUGUUGUGUUAGGAAAGGAAAGGAGAUUGUAGUAUGCAAUGUUGUGGUGUCACUUGCUGAAGUUUUCUCACUCUGUUCCUAGAUUUUUCUAGUGAGGUGGGAUUAAAAUUCAUUUGGUAUCAAAAUAUGACUAGGUUGUUUGGAUUGGAUCUACUUAUAAGAAAAGUUAUUUGCUUGAAUGCAUGAAACCUCAUUAAACAACGUAAAAGUCCAUCUCUUAUGAAUAAAAUGCCUUUGAUGAAGCCUCAUCUAUUUAAAUUAUCCUCUAAGGUGGAGUUUGUUACAAAGAAAGCUGUCUAUUGGUGAUAAGAUCAAAUCCUUUGGAUUUUAUUUUGUCUUCUAAUUAUGUGGUGUUAGAUCUUGUGAAUAAACUAUGGAUCAUAUAUUUUGAGGUUGUACUAUUAGUGCUUCAAUAUUGCUGAAAUUAUGGAUCAUCUAUUUUUAUGCUAGUUGUUAAAGCAGUUGAUGCUAGAUGUGUGAAGCUUAACGGCGAAAUACGAACUAGAGUAGAGUUAUAAUUGUUUACCGUGAAAAUGGUAAUGUCAAUUAAAUUUGUAAAAUGGGAUUCUAAAAAUACGUGAUUUAUUUUUAUGAUAGUUGUUAGAGUAGUUGAUGCUAAGAGUAUGAAGUUUUGACGAUGAGGUACGAGCUAAAACGGGAUAGUAAUCAAACCGAGGGGCUUGUUGCCCGAGAUUCGGAUGGGCCGAUGAAGGACCUCAGGGUCGAUAUCUGGCUCGAGCUCGAUCUAUCGAGGGUAAUCGGGAAGGGAUAAUAGUUAAAAUAUGAUCAAAUGAGGCUCUUUAUGGGCAAGACCAAACAAUAAGCGAAGAAUAAGUAUGAAAGCAAUAAAUGCAAAGAGUAGCCUCGAGUGAGUAAGAGCGAACAAGUUAGAGAGAAGAAAGAGAGAGAGAGAUAUUAUUGAUCUUCUGUAUGAUAGUUGGAGUAACAGCAGCCCCUUACAAAGUAGCGUGGGUUCCCUUUAUAUAGGAGGGGGAAUCCAGUCAUAGUACAACAUACAUUAAUUGUAAGAGCAUGGAGAUGGGACGGCUAGACGUAACGCCUCGACACAGGCUCUGGGUAGGCUGGCUCUAUCAGACUUAGCCGUGUGCCUAGGGAACUCCCCUUUUUGUUCCAGCCUCGAUCUUCGUCUUCUUUGAGUCGAGCCUCAAUGAGCCCCGAAGGAGAGGACUCGGUCGCAACUCCACGUUCUCGGGGUCUCGAGGUAUUCUUCCGAAGUGGCUUGAUAGCGAGAAAUUAAGCCCUCUAAUUUUUUCACAUAUAAAUAAUCUCCGCGUUUCCCAGAACGAAGCGAUGGGAAAUGAUUUUGACACCUAACUCCACAAGUUUCUCGCGGUGAUGUCAUACCAAUGAUGCAACCUGUAGUGCAAGCAUUUGCGACAACCGAGAUAUCCCACGGACUUGUGUAUUUGACACCAUUCAAUGCACUGUCGAUUUCCAUUAUUCAAGAUGAAUGUACCACCAUCGAUUCGGUUCUUCAUGAACGCAGUAAUUGCGUCCGUUGGUCAAUCUUCCAAAGCCUCAAUGACUGUGUAGUUACCCCCUAUAAAUGAGGGUGCUUUGGCAUAGUUUUUAUAUCCAAGAUGCCUUCAUCUGCUCAUUUGCCCAUUUCUUCUUAUCAUCUUCGUCUAUCUUUGAACAUCAUGUUUGGGACUCGUGGCCUCAAGGCCGUUCGGCAGAGCUCCCGCAGGCUGUGUUGCGGCCUCUUGCCGGGGCUUCCCUUUAUCGAGCACGACCAUGCCAUCCUGUUGCUGCUGUGGUUGUUGUUACGUCUGUUGUUGUUGUCCUUGUUUGCUUGAGAUGAUGACAUAUGGGGGUCAAAUUUCGUUGCUCGCGAAAAGCUCUUCGGAUUAUAUAUCGCUGCUCAAAAAGGGGCUCGGAUUGUACACCACUGCUCACCUUCAUACCCUGGCUCGACGUGGUGCUCUGCCUCAAGCUGGUAGCUUGCACGGCUAAAUGUUCCAAGAAGUGGACUCUAAGUAGCCGUGCAAGCGAGGCCGAGGCUCGCCCGGUCCGCUAUUUCUCUGAGGUUCUCUUGGCCAGCGAGGGUCCUCGACCUUCGGAGAGCUAUGGCAUUUUUUCAUCCCUCCCUGCUUCUCGCCCUAUCCUUUGGGGAUAUCAGUAUGGAAGGCCGAGAUGAGGCUUCUGAGGAUGCGUGCCCGGAGGCGCUUGUUGCAGGAGGCAGACCUUCGAAAGUAGACCAGUCUCUAGGCUUUUAUAAUCAUAUGAGAGGGCCGCUCGAGGGCUGUGCUACAUGAAUAUUCAUGAAUAUAAAGAUACUUCCUUGAUUCCUGUUUUUGAUACAUGCCUUAUUGUUGUAUGUUCUUGUGCGCUUCGAGGUUUUUGAACGUUUUCCUUUGUUGUCGACCGCUAAUAUCUAACUUGGAUGCGAGUAUUCUUUUCGAUCUUCUACCGAUUGGCAUGGCUCUUUUUCGAGCCCAUUAUCAUACAUCGGACCAAGACUAAAUUGGUCCGAUGGAUUCGGGCCGUCAGGCCCUUCAAGUUGCAUGGAGAUAGUACGCUAAGUUUCGAAGUUUUUGAGAACGGUAUCCUGAGCGAAGGUCAGCUUCGGGUACCUUGGGGGAUACUUUGAACUUGAUGUAGAUAGCCUUUUAAAGCGUAGUGGAUAGACUUCCAUUGAGGGGUUGCCUAUACUUAGGCGAUGCCUUGAUCCUUCCUUGAGUCUUCAUGGGCGGAGCUUUAGGUGCUUACUUUUCGUUUUAGAAAGGAAAACCACGAGAUCGGGUACCACCUCGAGUUCUAUGAUGGCGCUGAAGGCUUUCCGAAGCCUGGCUUCUUUUUGCUGAAGGUCCUCGAGGUCGGGCACCACCUCGGGGCUGGAGAUGAUAUAUUUGGCUCCUUGAAGCCUACCUUCUUGUCGAUGAAGGUCUCGGAAGUCGGGUACCACCCCAGGAUCUGUACCGAGGCCGUUGGCCUCCCGGGGCUUACUAUAGAUAGGCGAAUUGUUGUUGUUUCCCACAUAUAUGUGGGGCGGCUUUUGCUUCUUUGGAAGAUAUCAUUAUUUUAGAUAUCUAUCCUUCUGCCUUGGCAUCGGGUCCUUCGUUUCUUCAGGCGCAAAAAGUGUUGGCGCAUGUCCUUACUUUAGUCAGUCAAUUCUACCAUAGCUAUGGCAGCUACUUCGGGGCUGGCCCGGCAGGGAGGGGAGAGUUCCACUCCUAGUGUUCAGGAUCUACGGGAGUUCACUCUAAAGAUUAUGUCUUUGAUAAUAUAGGAACAUCUGGAGACGGUAAGGAGAUACUGCGGAUGGGGCGAGGGGAUAGCGCUGCAGGUGCUUUCCCCCGAUGAGAGUAUUACGGACUCUGCUGAUGGAUUCUUGAAUGUAUACGUAUACAUUUUUGCAUUAGGCCCCCUUAAUAGGGUCGUGCUUGAUUUCUGCCUGAAGUAUCGGGUUACUUUGGCGUAGAUACAUCCGUCCUGGUGAGUGGUACUGAUGAUGAGGUUCUUUGCGGAGAAGGCUGGGCUUUAAUUCACGUGUAGCCACCUUGUCAGGCUGUACUGGCCCUUUCAUCAUCGAGGCAUGUUAACCUUGCGAUGCUGCUCGUCCACGCCCUUUGUUGUCAAUGAUGAGGAAGAUGAGGAUCAAGAGUGGUCAGGCGAUUCGUCCGGGCUCGGACGACUGACAUCAUCCCCGUGGAGCUCAUGCCAUUUCCCGAGGGAUGGAAUUACGCGCGUGAGUGGAGUGUCUCGUGCUUUUUUAGAUUUGCUUAUAGCAAAAACCAGUUGAGUAAUUGUGUGUCCUCCUCUUCUAUAGCAACUUCAUGGACGCCAGGUGAAGUUCCCGAUCUGCCCGGUUGGGUCUGGAAGUUGGUGACCCAUUCAACUUGCGACGAGCGUAGGUGGCGAGUUGUGUCCCGUGGCAGAUGGGAAGCGAAAUAUCAAGGUAUGCGCAUAGGCUGCUUUCACCUUGGUCUACGUAUAUUCGAAAUGACAUUUUCCCCUUUCUACUGGCUUUGCCGUCGUAGGUAUCGGGUGUUCCUCCGGAGAGGGGGAGGAGUCAUCGGCCUCCGAGCCAAGGGACGAUGGAGGUGAAGGGGACUUACACUCGCAGCGCGAUGGAGCUUUUAGUGGGGCUAAACGAGCCUAUGUCUUCGAGGAGAGGACAUCGCCCGAGCCUGCUGUUCCCAGAGCAUUUGGUUCCGGAACGGUAGUUCCUCCGAGUGAAUAUGCCUCGACCGAGGUUGGUUCUUCUAGGGCCGAAGGGGCUGGACCAACAGGAGUGUGCUCGGCCUUCGAGGAAGUCUGUCGGCUUCACUUCAUGGUGAGUUUCGGUGAAGACCUUCUGUAUUUUGCGUUUUCCUUUCUUUAUCGAGUUUUUCUUUUGCAGGCCUUUGAUAGGCUUAGGUCUGAUCUGCUCCGUCAUGGGGCUAGGCUUCGGAAAGCUCUGGAUGAGGGUGAGUCCCUUAGGCUCCUUAGCGAGGAGAAGGAGGUUGAGUCGAUGCACUGGCGAUAUAAGGCGUUCUGAAGCUCGAAUUACGAGAUCUAUUUGAUGGAGCAGGUAACCUUUCGUAGUAUGUGUUUCGCCCUUUUGACCUUUAAGGUUAAUCCUUUUGCCUAUCUUAGUUGCAAAAAAAGAUGGAGGCUUUGGAGUACCUUAGGGGCGAAGCUGACUGAGUUAGGAGUGCUUGUGGUGAACUGAGGGCUCAGGUGUAGGCUCAAGCUUUAGAAGAAAAGGGUGCCUUGGCUAAAGUUCCCGCUUUCGAUGCCCAACUCCGUUUGGCUCGUGACAACGCUUCAGUUUAGUUGGAUAUGAUCGCGAGGCUCGAGUCUGAUAUCUCGACGGUCAGGGAUGAGAUAAUUGAUGCUCGGGCUGAAGCAGCAUUGAGUUGGGAUAAGGCUGAUCAGGAGAUGGCGAUUCAUUUGAAGGACGGUACUGAUGCCCAUGCCGAGUUGAGACGGGACCUUGAUCGUGAAAAGAGGAUCGAGGAAUAUGUUUGUUGCAGAUCCCGGAGAGAGGUACUCCAAGAGAUCAGCGCUAGGGGUUUCGUUCUCUCAGAGGAGUUGGCUCGAGCGAGGGAGGACGAGCGGGAUGCUCGGUUACUUCUUGCCGACGUCACAGAGAGCAAAGCUGGGGCUGGUAGGCCGUAGCUUUCUUGGAGCAGAACGUAGAUUUCGUCACUUUUCCAUUUUGUAUUUGACAUUCACAGAGCAUGUUUGUAAAUGGAGAGCGCACCUUUUGCGUAUGUAAAUAAAAGAAACUUGAAGCUUUAUCUUUUUUGUAUCUCUUUCUGCAUUGCUUUUGACCAGGCGGGCUGGUUUCGGUGUUUAGCGGGAGCCCUAUGGAUCCGAAACUUAUUAGACAGGCCCGAAGACUCUUUCAUGCUUGGUCAAGUGCGAUUUUUGACGUGAGUAGGCAUUAGAGCUUUCGUGCUUUGCCAGUUGUUUUGGGCUUAGUGUCCGAGUCAGGCUUUGACUCGAGCUUAUCUGACCUUCAAUCUCUUGUGCCUGCACGGGCGGGUGAUGAUGGUUCUUAUUCCUUGCCCUUGUGCAUUUGUAUUUUAACUAUUUUGGGUUCAGUCUCUAAGUCGUGUUGCGACUCGAGCUUAAUUGACCCUCAAAUUUUUUGUGCCUGCAUGGGCGGAAGAAAAUGGCUUUUAUAUGCCUUGGGUCGAAGCGACCUUUUAAGUGUGUGGCCCUGAGGCUCGUUUUGCUGGCGGCAAUGGCGCUUACGAUGUGCCCUUAGGCAUGUGUAGUUAACUAUUUUCGAUUCGGUCUCCAAAUCGGGUUAUGACUCGAGCUCAUUUUAAUCCUCAAGUUUUCAAUUUUUCAAGUUGGCGACAGUGGCUCUUACGCUGUUGGUCGUUGCAACCUUUUAGUGUGCGGCCCGGAGGCUCGUUUGGCUGGCAAAAAUGGCUCUUACACUUUUGCCCGUGGGCAUAUUGUAGGCUUUGUUUUCCUCUCAUUAAGGUCUUUUUAAAAUAAUUUUGCCUAACCCGUCGUCGAUUCAAGAAGAACCUCGUUUUCAAGUCGUUAGCGGCGAUGUUCCAGCACCUCGGAAGGUUUAGCUCGUAGGCUGAGUAGCUCGAAGCCUCGUGAUUUGGAGUUGACAUGGUUGAAGCUCGUUUUCCUAUUGAAGGUAGCCCAUUUUAACCGGCUCUUUUCGAAGUAGAUUCGAAGUAAUGGCCUGCGAGUUUGUUAGCGACGGUCUGUCAUCCCCGAGUCGCGUUAAUUUGGCUGGUGCAGCCGUUUUGACCGUAGUCAUAUGUGUUUGGACGGGGCCAUUUUUGAUCUCGAGUAAUAGUUUAGGCGUCUACAUCGAGGGUAUGCCCUUUCGGGAGUCUUACAAAUGCGACAUGUAGCCUAAACUUCGGGAUUGAGUCUUACAAAAUUUUCAUGCCUGUUGAGGUCUUACAGUUUUGUCAUGCCUGUUGAGGUCUUACAGUUUGUCAUGCCUGUUGAGGUCUUACAAAAUUUUCAUGCCUGUUGAGGUCUUAUAGUUUUUGUUGCUAUAUAAAAUAGAUCUGGCUUAGACCAAGUCUACCCGCUCGAGGACUUACGGCCUCGGGUUUUCCAGCGUAUGGUGAUUGGCGACAGUCUCCAAGUCAUCGAGUUUGCUUAGGCUCAAAGGCCGUUACUUGUGAGCUCGGAAUUGCCUCGUUGGGGCCUUAUGGGCUCGGAAUUCUGAACCUGAGGUCGUGCGGGUGCCGCAUUGUUGACGCUAAGUCUCCGAGUAUUUCGGGACGUAUCCAGUGGAGGGAAUCCUUGCCGUGAGCAUGCCGAAAUUUUCUCUUUUGGAGUACGAGAUGUUGAAAUAUAUUCUUUAAUUACUUGGCAUAAAUACAUGUUGUUUGGUUGUCGUGAGCUCGGCCCGUGCGGGCACGGUUCCUUUGACUGUUUGGCCCGGUACAUGAUUUCUCACUGGGACCUCAUUUGUCCUUUCCCGGUACAGGGUUGAUCGCGAAAAAAGUCCGGUAGGCUUAUUGAAUCCUCCUUAGGAGGCGCGUUGCUCUGUUAAGAACCUUGCUGAUGAGACCCUCUUCGGGGCGGAAGUUCGGCCGAGCGGAAAGAGUGCGACAUGUGUCGUUAAGGCCUUGGGAUCUUCAGGUAGAGUUAGCACUUCCGAGUGCCUUGGCCGGGUGUCUGCAUACAGGUUAGUGCAAAAUAACAAAGGGGGGGAGGUAGUUUUACUUUACCGCGGGAUGCGCAGGCGACGCUCUGGGGUUCGAUAUGUCCUGCUAUUCUGGAGCGAGGACUCUAGUGAAACCCUCUGCUGUGUUUAAUCGAGCAUGGCCGAAUAUGUGGUUCUCUUACCCUUUGACUCUUUCGAGAGUGGAGAUAUCGAUACCGGCGCCACGUUUCGUAAUGCAAACAUUUUUGUUGUUGCGUGUCGUUCCCCACAGACGGUUUCAAUUCCAUCCUCCAUUGGGGGUUUCAUUCUUUGGCGAAGAGGGGGAGGUACCACUUUCAUGCGGUGUAUCCGCGACCGCCUGAAUAAGGCGUUCAUUCAUUGCGCCUCUUUUGACGAUAUGGGAUUUGGCGUUCCGGUCUACGCUAGCCACACUGACUGAGAGAGUGGUCUUUCUCCUUGUCGUAGUGAUAGCCAUUUGGAAUCCGUCAAAGAUUCAAGAGGUGGUAGUGUUUUGACCCGGCAGACCGAACCGCCCUAUUAUCCUCGGCCCGACAACAUUGAUCGAGCCAUCUGAACUUAUGAACACAUGUUUUAUUUAAAAUGGAUUGAGUGAGGAAGAAGGUUACUAGUGUGUCAGUGUGAGGCCGAGACAAGGUCUUGGUGCCCUCUUUGCUGAUUGUGAGGGUGUCCCCGGGGAUAUGUCCCUAGAUCCGCCUUUCUCUGGCGGCGAGCAUUUGUGCUCUCCCUUUUAUGAGUUCUUUAAAAGUGUCGUUGCUCCUCCACUAUCGUGGAAAAAUGCUUCGGCCCAUUUGCUUCGUUCUUCCUGGCCGCCUUCCCUACUCGGGGCUGAACCUGAAUUCAGUCACUCGUCAGUUCUCAACGGUGGUUUUUGUUGAGUGACUUGGCUCUUUUCCUCCGGAGCUGGUGGCUAUCCCCGGCUUUGCGUUCGCAUUUGUUAUGUAGUUCACAUACCCAGCUUUGAUUCCUCUGAGAGGGGUUCUGCUGAAUAGGUCUGGGUCAUCUGGUGUCCCUGGUUUUGCUGACGAUGAACACGUAUGUUUGAUACAGCGAUGUUGAAAUUGUAUCUUGAUGGGCGAGGCACCCUCGCUGGCCUCGUGUCCCCGUCAAAUCUGGUUCUAUUAACGAUACCUCAAUGAUAUUGUCCUCGAUCCAUUCUCCAAUCGUUGUGAGGUAGAUUGCGCCUUGGGGCGUUUCUCCCGCCUGCGACGUACGGGUGGUACCUCUCUCUGUUUGGCAUUGGUUUCUUUUCUAGAAGCCUGUUUGGGUAUGCUGAGCCCGAGGGGACUCCUGGAUAGUCAUCCACGGCCCUGGUUUGCAACUGGUGCCGGAUAUAGGCAUCCGACUAGAUCUUGGCUGGGUACCCGAGCAAGUUUUGUUUUAACUGCCUCGGGAUCGUCGGGCUUGGUUUGUUUAGGCUUUGAGUGAAGACAUGUAUUGCCCUAUCAUCCGAGACCGGGGGUAGUCCCAUUUGCUCCAUCUGGGAAUGAGAUGCGAAUUCUCGCAGCAUUUCGUUAUUCCUUUGCUUGGUCCCGGAUGUGUUGGGUCUUCUCGCCGUUGCUUUGAUGGCACCGGCGUGUGCCUUUAUGGAGGAAUCUGCCGAUAUGGUAAGUGAGUUUAUGGGGUUGUGUGCUAGGUUAUGAUGCCAUAUCAUGGCCCCUUCCGAGAGUGUUUCCCCAAACCUUUUCAAUAAGACGGACCUGAUCUUAUCGUCCUUUAGGUCAUCGAUUUUUACCGCGCACGUAUAGGCAGUGAUGUGUUCGUUGGGAUCUGAGGUCCCAUUGUACUUAGGGAGUUCAGGCAUUCUGAAUUCCUUUGGAGUGGGUUCCUGGGCCGCUUCGUCGGGGAAUGGCCGUUGCACGAGCUUCCCCGAAUCUACACCCUUCAGGGCCGGGGCGCACUCGGGAUUUGAUCGACUCUGAAGUUAUAGGUUUCGACCUUCUUAUCAUUGGCUGCUAUCAUUUUCUCGCCUGACUUGAUCCUUUCUGUGAGGUCCUCCAGCAUUUUCGCGAUGGCGGGAUCGGCUACCGAUCCGUUAUUGCUCGAUCUCUCGGGUACAUGUUCGACUGGGGGAGCUGUUUCCGGCACUGCUAUGCUGGGAGUGUUUGGAUGGCUUUGUAACUGAGCGAUGGCCAACUGUUGUGCCUGGAACAUUUCAAAAAUAACAUGAAGACUAACUUCAUGUUCUUCCCGGGCUGGGGUUCUUUGGGCUUCCUAUCGGUCGUUAUAUCGUAUGCUCCUAUCAGUGUGCUAGGUUUCGUCGACCUGUUGUGCGUCCUGUGAAUCUACGUCCACUAGAAUCGGUCCGGGCGUCUUACCGGGAUUCUGUGGUGGCGCGUCGACAGCCGAAAUAGCCACACUGUUUUCCCCGUGGUUUUCGAGGUUGUCGUUCUCGACUCUAUUUACCGAGCCAGACAUUUUGACCUGAAAUCAAAGAUCUUGAACAAGAAAAGACGUGAAAGAUAACUUGUGUUUGUGUAAUGAAACUAGCAAGAAAAUAAUCACUAUUUUUUUAGCCCCACGGUGGGCGCCAAACUGUUUACCGUGAAAAUGGUAAUGACAAUUAAAUUUGUAAAAUGGGAUUCUAAAAAUACGUGAUCUAUUUUUAUGCUAGUUGUUAGAGUAGCUGAUGCUAAGAGUAUGAAGUUUUGACGAUGAGAUACGAGCUAAAACAGGGCAAUAAUCAAACCGAGGGGCUUGCUGCCCGAGAUUCAGACGGGCCGAUGAAGGACCUCGGGGUCGAUAUCUGACUCGAGCUCGAUCUAUCGAGGGUAAUCGGGAAGGGAUAACAGUUAAAAUAUGAUCAAAGGAGACUCUUUAUGGCCAAGACCAAACAUUAAAUGAAGAAUAAGUAUGAAAGCAAUAAAUGCAAAGAGUAGCCUCGAGUGAGUAAGAGUGAAUAAGUUAGAGAGAAGAAAGAGAGAUAUUAUUGAUCUUGGAUAGGAUAGUUGGAGUAACAGCAGCCCCUUACAAAGUAGUGUGGGUUCCCUUUAUAUAGGAGGGGGAAUCCGGUCAUAGUACAACAUACAUUAAUUGUAGGAGUAUGGAGAUGGGAUGACUAGAUGUGACGCCUUAACACAGGCUCUGGGUAGGCUGGCUCUAUCAGACUUAGCUGCGUGCCUAGGGAACUCCCCUUUUUGUUCCAGCCUCGAUCUUCGUCUUCUUUGAGUCGGGCCUCGACGAGCCCUGAAGGAGGGGACUUGGUCGCAACUCUACGUCCUCAGGGUCUCGAGGUAUUCUUCCGAAGUAGCUUGAUAGCGAGAAAUUAAGCCCUCUGAUUUCGCCGCAUACAAUAAUCAAAUCGAGGGGCUAGCUAUUUGGGCCUCGGACUGACCGAUGAGGGGCCUCGAGGUCGAUGUCUGGGCUCGGGCUCGAGCUAUCAGGGGUAAUCGGGAAAAGGCUAAUAGUUAGGAUAUAAUCAAGGGAGGCUCUAUAUGGCCAAUAACAAGCAAUAAAUGAAGAACAAAUAUGAGAAUAAUAAGUAAUAGCGAUAGGAAAAUAUGUUAGAGAGAAAAGAGAGAUAGUUGUUAUAUUUCGUGUAGAGUAGUUGGAGCAACAACAACCCCUUACAAAGUGAUGAGGAUCCCCUUUAUAUAGGAGGGAGAAUCCAACAUAGUACAAAUAUGCAUUAAUUGUAAAGGUUUGGAGAUGGGACGGCUAGAUGCGACACCUUGAUACAGGCUUCGGGCAGACCGACUUUGUCAGACUUAGCAGUGUGCCUUGGGAAUCCCCUAUUUUACUCUAGCCUCGAUCAAUAUUCUCUUCGGGUCGGACAUUGACGAGUUUCGAAGGAGGGAACUCGGUCACAACUUCGGGUCCUCGAGGCCUCGAGGUGUUCUUCCGAAGUGACUUAACAACAAGAAAUUGGACCCUCUAAUUUCGUCGCAUACACUAAUUAUACCAAAAUUACUCAACUAAAUUACAAUAGACUAAUAAGGGAAAUUGCAAUUGAACAAUAAUGGAAACCAACUGAUAGAGAGAAGACAAAAGGAGAUGAAACAGAGUGAGAUGAGAGAAUAGAAAGCUCAACAUAGCAAUAGCUUACUCUACCACACUUUCUAUUAGUUAUUUAUAAUAUAUUGCAAUCUUCAAACACUAUGCAUUUAUAAUAUGUUUUUUCGCAACUGGUGGUUUGAACUUGUGGAAGAUGAGACGUAGUAGUUGAUAUCGACAAAAGAAACGUUCUUUAAGAUUGCAACAUCAGAUUACACAUGAGGUCAUUCUCUUAGCUCACAAACAUCUUAUUUUAUCAAUCUCAAUAUCUCUUAGCUAGUUUUAAUUGAAUUAGAAGACAAUGUUAAACCCAAAUAUAAUUCAAUAAAAGUUGUUUGGCAAUACCUUUAUGGGCGAUUAAUUUAUGAAAUUUAACUCUAAUGCUUCAUCAAUCUUAAUAUUUGGUGUUUGUUCUUAUUGUUUUGAGAAUAUAUUGGUUGUUUUGAGAAUAUAUUGGUUGUAAGGCAAUUGCAUCUUACUUAAACUUCACGAAGUAAAUAAUAGAAAGGAAAGAGGUUGGGUGUAGUUAAAAAUAUUGUAAGAAGGACAAUUGCAUCUUACUCUAACUAAAAGAAGUUAUUAUCUUCAGAUAUUUGUUCACUUUGGCCAUUGAAAAUGGAUCUCUGUCUUUACAUUGGAGGAACAUAAUUAUUCUUAUCAUUUUGUUGCAGUUCUGUUAUGGGUAUAAUUUAUCUAUUGGAUAGUUCAAUUCUAAUGAUUCAUCCUUGUUAAAGCUAAUAGCCCCAGUAUAAUUAUCUCACAUAGUAGCCUAGCCCCUGUGCCUAAUUUGAUAAGGUAUCUAUUAUGACCCUGAGAUGGGUUGUGAAUGGAACUUUCAUGACGUUCUUUUUUUGGUCAAGCUUUGGAGGAAAUAUCAAUAUAUAUGGCAUGUAAAUAAAAUUUUCUUAUUGUAAUUCUCAGCAUCUACUUUGAUCUUUUUCAAAUAAAUAGUUCUUAAGGAACAUCUUCAUUGGAGUUCUUAGGUUAUGACUAAUGUUAGCUCUAGACUAAUUAUUUUAUUUGAACAAAAACAUAUAUGGAGAAUGGUUAGUGGUUUGAGCUUCAUCCUCCAGAUUGUAUAAUGCCUUUUGUCUUGGGCUCUUAGUUAUGUAAUUUGCUCAAUAUCUAGUUCUCAAAAUUAUUGAUUAUAAGGCUAAUAAUAGUUUUACUCUUUUCUUUAUUCAUAUUCUUGAACGGCAAAUGAAGAAGUCUUUCCUCCUUGAAUUGUUUGAGUUGUUAGUCACUAUCAUUGGCCAUGAGGUUGCGCUUUAGUAAACUUUUUUAUACGAUAUUUUUGUUGGUUUAUAAUUUAUGUGUUGAGCACAAACUGAUUUUCAUGAUCUAAACUAUAUUUAAUUACUUCCAGAUUGUCUCACUGGAGGAAAUACGGUUCACUGUAUAUUGGUUAAAGGUAUGUACAUUAUUGAAACUUGUAAAAGUAUUGCUACUCGUAUAAUGUGUUUUGUAAAUAUGGAUAGGUUAUUUUACAUUAAUCUAUAUUUGAAAAGGUGAAAUUGGACUAUAUAUGUAAAUGAUAUGCUUUAUUUUAAGGAGAAGAAAGUAUGCAAUAUUCAAGUGUUCCUCUCAUUGUUGUUAUCUUUCAAAUACAUAAUAUGAUCUUCAUAAUUUUCUAAAGGAAAAUUUACUUUUUAUUUUUUAGAGGGUUUGAAGAGUUGAACUUACAAGUCAAGAUGCAAGUUUUGAAGACUUCAUGCAAUAUUGUUUCACUUGCAAGGGUAGUUAGGAAAGCAGUUAUUUUUGCUAAAAGAUUGUGUAAAGAGCACGGUGACAUAUGGUUCAUGGUUAUACAAUUACCAAUGGGAUGUAAUACGCUUUUUUGUAAUUCAUAACCAAUUUAUACAUGUACAUUUGUAUAUUUGUAUAUGAAAGCAUGAUUUUAUUGAUAUUUUUGUUACGUGCAUGUGAUUUUAUAUACUAAAAAUAAUAUAAUUUAUAAAUAAAAUAUGACUGGAAA
rnacentral:lncRNA from 1 species